AUUGAACGCUGGCGGCAGGCCUAACACAUGCAAGUCGAACGGAUGUAGCAAUACAUCAGUGGCAGACGGGUGAGUAACACGUGGGAACCUUCCUAGGGGUACGGAACAACUCAGGGAAACUUGAGCUAAUACCGUAUACGUCCGUGAGGAGAAAGAUUUAUCGCCCUUAGACGGGCCCGCGUCGGAUUAGCUAGUUGGUGGGGUAACGGCCUACCAAGGCGACGAUCCGUAGCUGAUCUUAGAGGAUGAUCAGCCACACUGGGACUGAGACACGGCCCAGACUCCUACGGGAGGCAGCAGUGGGGAAUUUUGGACAAUGGGCGCAAGCCUGAUCCAGCCAUGCCGCGUGAGUGAAGAAGGUCUUCGGAUUGUAAAGCUCUUUUGCCAGGGACGAUAAUGACGGUACCUGGAGAAUAAGCCCCGGCAAACUUCGUGCCAGCCGCCGCAGUAA
rnacentral:rRNA from 1 species